UACGGGGGGAGCAAGCGUUGUUCGGAUUUACUGGGCGUAAAGGGCGCGUAGGCGGCCACCGCAAGUCGACUGUGAAAUCUCCGGGCUUAACUCGGAAAGGUCAGCCGAUACUGCGGGGCUAGAGUGCAGAAGGGGCAACUGGAAUUCUCGGUGUAGCGAUGAAAUGCGUAGAUAUCGAGAGGAACACCUGCGGCGAAGGCGGGUUGCUGGGCUGACACUGACGCUGAGGCGCGAAAGCUAGGGGAGCGAACGGG
rnacentral:rRNA from 1 species